GACGAACCGUGCGAACGUUGUUCGGAAUCACUGGGCUUAAAGGGCGCGUAGGCGGUCUGCCAAGUCGGUGGUGAAAUCUUUCGGCUUAACCGGAAAAGUGCCAACGAUACUGGCGGACUUGAGGGAGGUAGGGGCAGAUGGAACUUCCGGUGGAGCGGUGAAAUGUGUUGAUAUCGGAAGGAACGCCGGUGGCGAAAGCGAUCUGCUGGAUCUCUACUGACGCUGAGGCGCGAAAGCCAGGGGAGCAAACGGG
rnacentral:rRNA from 1 species